GGAGUAUAGUUGACACACAAUGUUAUAUUUCAGGUGUACAACAUAGUGAUUCCACAAGUUUAUAUUAUGCUACGCUCACCACAAGUGUAACUACCAUCUGUGACCAUACAACACUGUUAUAAUACCACCGACUAUCAUCCUUACAUUGUACCUUUCAUUUCUAAUUCCAUGAUCUGUAAGAACAGAAAUUUCACACAGCACAAGCUUUUCUAGAGAAUAGAGAAGGGCGUAUUUCCCAACCCAUCUUUGAGGCCAGCACAACGGUGACACCGAAAUCAGACAAGGACUGUGUAACAA